UUUUUAAUCUUAAUGUUGCUUCUUGUGAUAGAAGUAUAUGUGACGGAAACUGGACUCAGAGCGAUUAAUAAGGAAAUGUUGGUACCUGCCUUCCUCUGAUGUAUAAACUGAAAAGCCAUUAUUCCAGGCUGGGUGACCUUCUAAACUAUUUUGAAUUUGAAUUCUAAACAACUCUAGAUGAAAUAAGUAUGAUUUCAAAUACUCUCUGAUGUUAAUUGCCAUUAAUGAGGUCAAACAGGUAUGUUCACAGUCCGUGUGUGUUGACAUGCUGCUGAGGACUCAGCCAGACAUAACUCGGAAACUUACUGAAAUACAGUGUACAGUAUUAUGUAGGACUAAACUACAUUGUAUUUAGCUAUUUGUGUUGUAGACUAGAAAAUAUAGAGGAAAAAAUACAGCAAAGCCAUCUAGUAGCUGUGAGUACAGUUGAUAGAUGAAAAUAUUUUAAAACUAAUUAACAAAUGCUAGCAACGUGUUUAAAAAAUCUGAGGAAUUUCUACCAGGAAAGAAGGGAACUACGUUGAUUGUGUUCAUCUCAAUGUUAUUUCUUUACAUUCACUUUUGAUGAGAAGUUCCAGCUAAGUUGGGUGAUGCUGAGCUUCUGAACAGGCUGUUCUAACUUUACCUCAGUAUCUUUCCUGGGGUUGAUACUGGAGAAGAAAUAUUGAAUUAAUUGCAUUUAAAGUUAUUUUUACUUUGUUUCCUGGAUUUUUUCACUGCAGGUUCUAAUUAGGAUAGCUAGAAAACUGGCUAAAAAGGGAAUGAGAGAACAUGAAGACCAAAAGGACUGUUGUGGGAUAUUUUCCUAUCCUUCUUACCCUUACCAUAAAACAAGAUCUGUUAACCAAGCUUGGAAGGAGCAUGCAGUUCAAAGGUCAAAUGUAUGAAAGCAAAGCCUGCUUGAUAUACCAAGAGCUCUUUGUAAAUUUGAUUCUAACUGAGAAGCUAUAGAGCUGUGAAGGGGUGAAGGGCAGAGGAGAUAGUGCAGCACCCGCUGAAACGCUUCCAUUUUGUUUUCUGAGCUACUGCCACAAGGAAAGACUGCCUUCUGUGCUGAUGACAGAUCUGCCCUUCUGUUAUCAGACACUGCUCUUUUGCUAUCUCAGUUUCAUAACAAUUACCUCUGCCUGAGAGCUAUGGAUCAGCCACAUUGGGCAAAGCAGUCCUCUGAGAAAGAGAAUGAUGGAUGACAGAGUGAUUCCCUUCAACAUGACUGGGGCACUGAGGCUCCUGCUCAGCUCUGGAUAUGCUAGAGAACCCCCAUUGCUCCUUUUCACUGUAACUCCAGCUGCUGCACUGGAGCUAACAAAACUAUUCAAAGAAAAGCAUUCCAAGGAACCAUCUGAGAAGGUUCUUCAGCAUUGCUGAUGGGCCCUUUAUCCAAGCUGCCUGGGCCCCGGCCUGCGUGUAAAUAUGUCAGAGCACCAAUGAGACGGAACACGGACACAGAAAUGCUGGCGGCUGCUCCCAGAUAAAACGCUGAGCUGAAGCCGAGGCGUUUAUUGUAAAUAAAGAUCAAGGCAAAGCAGCAACGUUUCGGUUCGACUUCAGCCUGCCAAGAGGGCACUGGAUCCUGUGAACAGGAAUUGGUACAGUGCAGCUCAAAGGGUCUAACAGCUUUAGCAGAUGGACUGAUUUUUUUUCCCUCUGGAUACUGGCGAUGUGGAAGAGAAGUCUGGCUUCGUCUGCUGUACGCCCACUGACAGACAUCCAAUGGUUAAUGGGAUAUAUGGACAGGAGACUUGAGCUUACUCCCUUGGAACCAUGACAGUUUGAGGUGUUGCCUGGCUCAGCCCUUGGAUGGGAAAGAAUAACUUGAACAUCUCUCCGGUCAUUUCCUGAUAUUUUCAGUUAGAGAACAGAUGUGAUUCACUCCAGAAGGGACUGCUGAGUGCUCCCAUGUGUCUGAUCUACUAAGCAAGCAACCUUGGGAAGAUACAGUGUGGCUGUGUGCAUUGAUGAUCAGAAGAUUUGCCAUAGGAAUCCAGAAACACUGCCUUCCAGAGAACCGACUGUUGGCAUGGAAAACAAACACCAGAGAAACCCUGGAAUUCCGAGAUGUAGUUGCCUUUCUGAAUGCAGGCAAGUUGCAAUUAAAAAACAGUUAUUUGGGGAGAGCAGUGCAUUCAAAAUACAGUUCUUUGGAGAGGGCUGGCAGGCACAUCACAAGUGAAAUAAAUUAGUAAUGUGAGGAGAUAGUUAUGCUUGAGGAUUAACGAAUUUUGGACAGCUGUAGGAGCCAACCCACUGGGCUCUGUGCAUUGCCUCGCUGUAACUAUUUAUGCUGCUCCUCUGGAUACCGGGGCAUCACAGAGCCAGGCAUCUGAAGCACAGCUUUUCCCUACAAAUGCAACCAAACCAGCUGCUGCAUUUUGCAGAGAUCCUGACACUAUAGUGCUGAGCUGCUCUCCAUUCCACUUGGUGAAAUCCGCUCACCUCAGUCUGCGUGUUAGGGGUAUGGCCAGUCAGUCAGGCUUUGCUAGUAUGGGGCCGAGCAAGGAGAAAUAUCCUUAGUAGAGAUAUUUAUUGCAAAGCUGCUGAAAGGCUCACAGUAGACAGCCUACACAACGAAACCAUCUCCUUCAAUUAGUCCAUGGUCAUCAAUGAGGUAAAUGUCUCUGCCUUCUGACCCAGACAGGGUGGAGUUUUAAUAACAGACAUAAAUCUGUUGUGCUUCUCUCCUCAUGACCUAACGUAUGCUGUCAGGGCAAUGCAUGCCUCAGAGAAGGAGUAGAAUUUAUGUGUACAAUAAAACAAUAGAGCUUCAGUGCUAUCAGCUGUUUGAUGAACUUUAAUAUGCAUUUGCUAUAAAAAAGGCAGCGAGUACCAGAAUGCUAUACCCAAAUAAGAACCCUUGAUCCAUUUGCAUGACAGAUCUUCAAUUUACUCACAUUCAUGUGAGAGACACACAUAAAAGUUAUAUCCACGCUAAAAUUCACUUAGAAGCAGCCUGAAAUACCCCCCAGUUGCAAGUGAUACUGCAGUACUUAGCUAAUACUCAUGUUUCCGUGGCUUUGCCUUCACGAUUCUUCCAGUGGUUCCUUUAUGUUUUCUGGUAUUUUGCCAAACACCUGUGAAUCGGAGCACAACAAAUAUUCUUGCCAUUUAAUUUAGGCUUGCACAGAAAGGCUAUAGUAGGCCGGCUGCAGACCUAAUCCCAAACCUCUAAAGAGGUUUAAGGCACUCUGGUUUCACCUAAUCCCGAAACCUAAACCAGAAUCAUUGAAAACCUCCACGACACCAUAGGAAUGGGCAAAUAAAGGGUCUCCACUAUGAAAUUAUUAAAGGGACACGGUGUAUCUUUUGGAUUUGAGACCUAAGGCUUUACCUAAGGAGCCCGGAGUCCACAAUGCAGUGUUUGUUUUGAAGACAGGAGGUUGAAAGCUUUACUUAACCAGAGGGCCGCUCCUUCCUGCUGCCCAACGAGAGGAGGGGAGGAUGGGAAGGAGGGGGACCUGCGAGCUGGGGUGGCUGUGCAGCACGGCGGGGCGGUGGUACUGCUGGGCGGUACUGGCGGUGCUGGCAGCGCGCUGCUGCUGCUCAGAACACAGAUUGUGCUUCUGAGAGCUCUGCGAGGGGUGGCAGCGCAUAAAAAGCUGUGCUGUAAUGUGACUUGCAGUGACAGACUGCAUCCAGCUGUGGUACAUUGGACCUGGCAUUAAUUCGAGUUCAAUUAACUGCACUGUGUCCUUCCUGAAUUCCGGUAACCGCCCCAUCUCGCCGCGCACCUCGUUCUGUGUGUCCUGAAAGGGGCACCGCGAGCUCAGGGUGCCCGCGGGGAGCAGUAACGGUACCGCAUCCUAACG
rnacentral:lncRNA from 1 species